AUGAUUGGGGUGAAGUCGUAACAAGGUAGCCGUAGGAGAACCUGCGGCUGGAUCACCUCCUUUCUAAGGAAUAAUUACGG
rnacentral:rRNA from 1 species